rnacentral:rRNA from 1 species
GAUGAACGCUGGCGGCGUGCCUAAUACAUGCAAGUCGAGCGAACAGACGCGGCGCUUGCUCCUCUGACGUUAGCGGCGGACGGGUGAGUAACACGUGUAUAACCUACCUAUAAGACUGGGAUAACUUCGGGAAACCGGCGCUAAUCCCGGAUAAUAUAUUGAACCGCAUGGUUCAAUAGUGAAAGACGGUUUUUCUGUCACUUCUCGAUGGAUCCCGGCCGCAUUAGCUGGUUGUUAAGGUAACGGCUUACCAAGGCAACGCUGCGUAGACGACGUGACGGGGGGAUCGGCCACAUGGGAGCGUAACCAGCGACAUGGGGCCUACGGGAGGCAGCAGUAGGGAAUCGUACGCAGCAGGCGAAAGCUUGACGGAGCGAGGCGGAGCGAGUGAUGGAGAUCUUGGGAGCGGGAAGAUGGGUUAUGAGUGAUAAACAAAUUUGGAAGUAAAUGUGCACGGCGUGACGGUACCGAGUCAGAAAGCAACGGCUAACUACGUG